rnacentral:lncRNA from 1 species
UCUGUGCUUGGGUCGCUUUAAUAGCAUUUCGUUUCUUAGUGAUUUCCUCCAAGCUCAUGAUUUUAAAUACCAUCUGUAUGCUGAUGAAUCCCAAAUACGUACCUCUAUCCCAGACUCAUGUAUCCCGUGGUCCACUUGUCAUCUCCAUUUAUGUGUCUGAUUAGAUUUGAAGUCCUGAAUAGGCAAAGCAGAACUCCCAGCCAUUCCCCCAUAGUCUUCCUCAUCUCAGUAAACGGCUACUGUAUCAUAAUGUCCAGGUUCUUGGGCUAGAACUUGGGUUUAUGCUUGACGCCUCUCUUUUUCUUAUACUCCUCAGCUCAUCUGAAAGCCGAUCCUGCUGACUGUACCUUCAAAAUGUGUCCCGAAUAUAGGCGUUUUUCACCACCAUCCAAGCCACCAUCAUCCUCCUUCUUUCACCUACUUACUAUAACAACCUCCUAACUGAUGUCCCUGUGUCCGCGCUUGGCCUCCUAUUCUUUUCUCAAAACACCAAUCCCCACAUCAUUUUUUUUCCCCUUCAGUGGUUUCCAGUCUUUCUCUCAGAAAGUGUGAAAGGCCUUACAGUGGCUUUUAAAGCCUUGUAAUUUCAGGUCCUCAUUUACCACUCUGAACUCACCAUUUUAUGACUCUUUCCAAUCAUAAUGUUCAGCGCACUGGCCUCCUUGCUAUUCCUGCUCAAACAAACAAAUAAGACUAGACAGUCAAAUCAGAUCAACAUGACUCAGGGAUCUUAUCCCAUAUUACUCUUAAAUUAUGUCAAGGAAUCAGGCAAUCAAAAGUCUUAAACCAACGAGAAAAAAGCCUAGGGUAUCAAGGGCAACUCCCAAGGGCCUUUCUGUAAUGGACCUGAUCCUCUGGCUUAGAAGAAAUGAGAUAUCAAAGUGGGGUUCAUGAGAUUACCUCAGACAGAAGGAAUAUUUAAAUUAUGAAACAUCUCCAUUUUAUCCUCCAGACAGUUGUAUCUUUAUAUGACACAAAUAUGAUACAUAUAUGAUAAGAUGUUAUACAGGAAGACAAACCUCAUACAUUUUAGGAUUAUCUGUAGUGAGUAGAACCUAAGCUAGGGACAUCUUGUUAUAGUAGCAAGAUUUCAGAGAUUGUCUCUUCUUCCUGGGUAAAUACAUUAGUCUACUUAUUCAGAAGUCUUUGUAGCUAGUGUUUAGAUAGUUGACCCUCUUCCAACCCCACCUCCCCACUCUUUCCUCCCACUCAGGCAAGCACAGUUCUGCUAUGGGUCAUUGUACUUGAUCUUCUCUCUUACAGAAAUGCUCUGGACCCAGAUGUUCGCAUAGCCUGCCCCUUAACUUCCUUCAGAUCUGUACUGAUCUUCUUAGUGAGAUUUCAGAUACAUUCUUUUGGUCCCAGCCUUCUCCCUUUUAUUCCUCGUCCAGUAUGAAAUAGUAUUAUCUCACUUAUCCGGCUUGUCUGUCGAUUGUUUGUCCCAUUAGAAAAUAAAUUCCAGGAGGGUUGAGCAUUUUGUUCACUGCCGUAUCUCUAGUCCUAGAAUGGUAUCUGACAGUGGGGGCUGCUCACCCUCUCCUUGCUGAGUGGGUUACUGUGGCUCCUUCCCUACUACCAAGACCAUGGUUGAGGGCCUCAUCACUUCUCACAUCAAUUGCUGCACUUGCCUCCCAGCAGACUUCUAGAUGAUCUUUCUAAACAUGAUCUUUCUAAAGCUCAAAGCAGCUCUGUGGUCAUAUCUUACUCCUGCUUAAAAUUCCUGUCUUGCCGUCAUCUUCAAGGUAAAGUCAAUAUUUCUUAUCAUGACACCCAAGGCUCUGCUUAAAUCUCUGACCUCAUUGCAGCCUUUCAGUCACUUGUACUUAAGUGCUUUCCCCCUCAUUUUGUUCCCAGAUUUUUGUGCCUGAAAUGCCUAUCUGAAUAACUGGCUCCUCCUUGAUGAUUUAGCCUAAGGCUCUUUCCUGUAUGUUUCACCUUAUUCCCUUUAGUCUGGAUUAAAUGUUCUUCUCCCAUAGCAACCAUGCCUGUCUUUGCUGUAGCAUUUAUACAUUAUCUCUUGGAGUUCCCAUCAUGGCUCAGUGGUAAAGAACCCAACUGAUAUCCAUGAGGAUGCUGGUUUGAUCCCUGGCCUUGCUCAAAAAAAAAAGUAUAUAUAUAUGUAAAAGCUCUAAGACAAAGAAUAAAGGGGCUUUAGAUAGUAGCUUUAAAAAAUAGUUCUGACUUAGUUAUAAAAGCCACAGAAGACAUUUCCUUAAUCAGGUCUCCUUCUGUACACCUGGUAAUAUAUACAGAGAGCAGCAACCAAGUAGGUACCCCUUCUAGGAUCAAGUCUUGGAGUGAAAUGAUGUUGCUGGAAUUGGUGAAUGCACAGGGAGUAUUAUGCCACAUGUUUGCUUCAAAGUUCUAAAUAUUGAUAAAGGAAUUUUGAGGAAGGAAUUUUGCUCAUCUUUAUCCCAUCUUUGAAGGCUCUGGAGAAACUGGCCACAAUUAAAUAAUUUUAAUGUCAUUAAAUAGGUCAUUAAAUAGGUAAGUUAAAGAAGGUAAUGUAGAUUUUUUGACCCAUUAUCUUGUUAUACGAUGAACUAAGUGUUUACUCAUGAAGAACACGUUUUUCACCGAGAUUCACAACUCUUGACUUUUUGGAGCUUUUGUUCUUGAUUCCAACUAUCCAAAUUGGUCAUUUACACCACCACCCUAGUUUAUCCCUGUGUGUGUUUACAUCAAAGUCAAAGAUUAAUAAAAAUAGGAUUUAAAAAUUAUCAGUUAUCAGAGUUCCUGUCAGAGCUCAGUGGAAACGAAUCUGACUGGUAUCCAUGAGGAUGCAGGUUCAGUUCCUGGCCUUGCUCAGUAGGUUACGGAUCCAGCAUUGCUGUGACUGUGGCUAGGCCGGUGGCUACAGCUCAAUUUGACCUCUAGCCUGGGAAUCACCAUAUGCAACAGGUGCGGCCCUAAAAAGACAAUAAAUAAAUAAAAUUGUCAUUUAUCUACUGAUUUAUUAAUUUAGGCUCUCAUGUUUUUAUUAAACCCAUAUACAUGAGAAACUUUAUCGCUAGAGUAAAUUGAAAAAUUCAAUUUUGUGCUAUAUUUUUAAAAGACAGUGUAUGUUCCUGUAAUUGAUAAUACUUCUUUCAAUUGUUUAAUUGUUUAAAGAAAAUAAUCCCUUCCUGAUAUGUCUCACAUAAAGCAACUAAUGCUUAUAAAUAUUUUUAAGUAAUGCAACCCAUUAUGAUAAAAAUGUUUUGGGAAAUAGACGGUGUAGAAAAGAUUUUUACAAAUAUAGAUCUAACCUGGUUUAUAGGUGUUCUCCAAAGAUAUCAGAUCUUUUUUUUUUUGGCUUCUUUAGUUAACAUACUCACUAGAGAAGUCCCAAACGACCUACCUUAAUACUAGAUUCUACUUUGUAGUGAGCUGGCCAGGGGUCCAGUAGAGCUUGAUCUCAGCAGUACAGAAAUCAGGUUACAGUUUAGGCAGUUAAUUAUUUUGCUUCCUCAGUUAUGUGCUAGUAGCCAUAAAUAUAAGUAUUGAAAAUUAAUUUUAACAUGUUAAUUUAAAAAAUAAACUCUCAUCCAUAAAGCCAGUAUUUAAAGAAGAUUGUUAUAAAUAUAAGCCAUUAUAUAGAAGAUACACAAACGUGAGAAGGUACUCAGUGGUUAAUUGAAGCCCUUCUUUGCUGUUCUGUGAAUAUUUGUUAACAAAUAUUUGUGACUUUCAUGUUUCAAUCAAAUCACCCUUUUUCUUCUCAAGUAGGUACAUUGUACUUCUUUGUGGUUACCCCGCAUUUGAGGGGUAAGUUAGCAGAUCUUUAAUUCAUGUCUCCACAUAUCUGCUUCAUUCAUACCUGUGAUGGAAAGAAGUGUAUAGGAACAAAUCUUAGCUAUCAUUAUUUUAUUGAUGAUCCAAGAAUUUACUUAUUAGCCUCCAUGCGAAGUUGUGGGGUUCAGUAAUCAUACAUUAUUGUGCUGGAGAAACAUGCUUUGCUUAAUUAUUGAUGCAAAUGUCCUUUGGAAAAAGGUGUUUUAAAGAUGUAUAGGGCAUAUAUUUUGUACUCAGGGUAAUCAUUCUCUGUGUUGUUUAAGCAAAUAAGCUAGUUUAAAUAAGCCCAUAAUGAGUUUUUAAUUUAUAGAGAAAUGAAUCAGUAGGGCAGAGAAAGGUGCAAAGUCUUAGAAGAAUUUGCCUUGUGUAAUAAUUGAAGAAUCACUUGAGUAAAAUCCCCCACUGAACUAGCUUUUGUUGGGCAAAAGAAUGCAAUUAUAUUAAAAAUUAAUACUUCAGUGUAAUAUGAAACCAACGCUGCCUGAAUUAUUAUGUGCCAAAUUAGGUUGCUGUAAACAAUAACAAAAUGGGUGACUGUGCAAAUGAAAGCACUGAGUUAUUUAAACUUGCAGUAGCAUGUUUAAUGAGAUGCAGUGAAAGCAGAAAAUGUUUAAUUUAGUAACGGGUGACCUGAAUCAAUCUGUCCUACAGAGUGACAGGCUUUGGAUUAAUUUUCAGUUAAAACAAAAUAACUGAAUAACCACCCCUAUUAAUGUAUAAUACGGGCCAUUUCAUAUUAUUCUUUUUUAGUCAGAGAAAUGGCAUCUUUCAUUGGGAAUUAUUAUGUGUUCCAUGUGAAACCCUGCCAACCAAAUUAAGUCUUGCUUGUUUUUUUCCUUCGGGAAUCUGAGAAUGCUUUGUGUUCCUUUCUGGUUGGAUCAUUUUAAGAUCAUAAUCUAAUAAGCACAUUGAAGGGAAAACUUGUUUUGGUAUUUGGAAUAUAAUUGUGUAAGUUUAUUCUACUUUUAUAAGUUAUAGGUAGUUUAAGAUGACUGAAAUGAUGGACCCAUAUUGAGAAAGUUCUCUGGAGCUGAAAAGAAUUUGUGGUCAUCUUUGUAUUCCUUGUUCAUUUAUUUAUUUUAGGGCCCUACCCAUGGUAUGUGGAAGUUUCCAGGCCAGGGGUCCAAUCAGAGCUGCAGGUGCUGGCCUACACCACAGCCCCAGCAACUUGGGAUCAGAGCAGCAUCUGCUGCCUAUGCCACCGCUCAUGGUGAUGCCGGAUCCCUAUCCCUCUGAGCGGGAACAGGGAUGGUACCCAUGUCCACAUGGGUACUAGUUAGUUUCAUUAUGGCUGAGCCAGCAUAGUAACUCCCCAGAUAUUUUUUUAAGUGCCUGAAACUGCUUCUUGCCCUUGUGUUUUCCAUCUUUUAGAGUCAUCACAGUUCAGGUAUUUUGAAAACGUCUUUCUCAGAGGGUGUGAAUUCAGUGUAUGAAAAUUUAUUUGGGCAACCGAGGGCAGAGAGUUGAAUUAUUGAAGUGUCACUUUGCAUCACUUGAGAGAUAUUCAGUUUUAUUUGUUUCCUGUGAUAGAGAAGACCACUUUACAAUUU